rnacentral:tmRNA from 1 species
GGGGGCGAACCGGCUUCGACGGGGAUGGUUGAAGCUCGGGUUGCAUACCGAGGUUCCAUCUGCUCGUAAAACAGGUGGGGUUAACAUAAACGCAGACGAUUAUGCGUAUGCCCUAGCCGCAUAGAUGGCUAGCGUCCUGUCGGUCUUUGCCUGCGUGACUGAACAGGGCGUCGAUUAGCAGGCUAGCUUAUCCACUUAACCUGUGAGAUGGAAAGGCGAAAAAUGAUACAGGUUAGUCUCUUGGCGGUUUUGCCCGGUUGCGAACCUUGGGGCGAAAACUAAAUAUCGGGAUAUGUAUGUAGAAGCCUUGGCGGAAAAUUUCCGGACGGGGGUUCGAUUCCCCCCGCCUCCACCA